GACGAACGCUGGCGGCGUGCUUAACACAUGCAAGUCGAACGGAAAGGCCCGGCGCUUGUUGGGUGCUCGAGUGGGGAACGGGUGAGUAACACGUGAGUAACCCCUCCCUGAAUUUGGGAUAACUUCACGGAACUCGGGCUAAUACCGGGUAGGAGCUCCUGCUGCACAGUGGUGGAUGGAAAGUUUCGGCGGUUGGGGAUCGACUAGCGGCUUAUCAGCUUGUUGGUGGGGUAGGGGCUUACCAAGGCUUUGACGGGUAGCCGGCCUGAGAGGGUGACCGGCCACAUUGGGACUGAGAUACGGCCCAGACUGCUACGGGAGGCAGCAGUGGGGAAUAUUGCAGAAUGGGCGGAAGCCUGAUGCAGCAACGCCGCGUGCGGGAUGACGGCCUUCGGGUUGUAAACCGCUUUCGCCUGUGACGAAGCGUGAGUGACGGUAAUGGGUAAAGAAGCACCGGCUAACUACGUG
rnacentral:rRNA from 1 species